CCCCCCCCCCGGCAGAUCUCUUCUGGGCCUCUGGCUCUCCCUACCCCCUCUCUGGCAAAAUCAGGUGUGCACCUCCGGCAGACAACCGGCUCACACCUGGCGUCUUUUGCAGGUUCCAGCCCAGCCGUAGCCAUCUCCAUCUGUGGGAAAUAUUUAGGAAUUGGGGUUUUAGGGUGAAAUCCUGAUCAGGACGGCCAAACUCCCGAUAAAACACUAGUUAGUGGCUCUAUAACAUGGUUUGCGGAGAGAUACAAGGAAAAGGCGGGAAGGGGGGGCGGGUUUGCCAAGGUCCUGCGGGUGGAUAACGAGCCUCCUGUCCUCUGCAGACUGGCAGAAAACCGAGGCCCAGAAGCGACGCGAGCAGCUCCUGCUGGAUGAGCUGGUGGCCCUGGUGAACAAGCGCGACGCCCUCGUCAGGGACCUGGACGCGCAGGAGAAGCAGGCUGAAGAGGAAGAUGAGCAUUUGGAGCGAACUCUGGAGCAAAACAAAGGCAAGAUGGCCAAGAAAGAAGAGAAAUGUGUUCUUCAAUAGCAGCCGGACCAGAAUCUCCCAACAUUUUAAUCCUGGGUCCCCAGACCAGAAAAUGUCAGACUCGUUGUUGAUUUAAAACUUUUAACAUUUUUGGGGGCUGGAUCGUACUUCUUUACCACCACCACCGCCACCCCUUUUCCUCCCUCCUUUCCAGAUAAUAUACAAAAUUCCAAAAUAGCAUUGUUUAAGGAUUUUUUUGUGUGUGAGUUAAUCAUUUCCUUGAAAUCAUGUGAAAUAAAUUUGCACAGAUACCUUGUGAGUGAUUGGUAUUGAGAGUGUUCAAGAGACUGUUCAAAGAAGAAAGAAAAAAACCUUUCUCAUUAUUUUAACUCAGUUUUUUGAUGGGAGAAAUAUUUGGAACAUUUCGUUGUUGCUGUUGUUGUUGUUGUUAAUAGCAUAAAUGGUGGGGGGAGGGGUAAGUAGGGGGUAAGAGAAAUGUCAUGAAUGAUUUUUUUCCAAUCCUGCCAUAUGUAACACUUGACUCUUACCUAAAUUUUAUAGUUAGAUCAUAUUCAAUCUACUUAUUAAACUGUGUUCUAUUUA